AAGUCGAACGAGAAGAUUCCUUCGGGAGCUCGAGUACAGUGGCGGACUGGUGAGUAACGCGUAGGUGAUCUGCCUUCAAGUGGGGGAUAGCCCUCGGAAACGGGGAUUAAUACCGCAUGUGUUCCUUCGGGAAUAAAGGUGGCCUCUGACAUAAGCUGUCGCUUGGAGAUGAGCCUGCGUCCUAUUAGCUUGUUGGUGUGGUAAUGGCGCACCAAGGCGAUGAUUGGUAGGCGUCCUUAACGGGUGGUCGCCCACACUGGGAUUGAGAUACUGCCCAGACUCCUACGGGAGGCAGCAGUCGAGAAUAGUCUACAAUGGACGAAAGUCUGAUAGUGCAACGCCGCGUGGGUGAAGAAGCAUUUCGGUGUGUAAAACCCUUUUCUUUGUGAGCAGUGCCAUUAUGGUUAAGAGCUAUAGUGGAGAGAUAUUAGCAGAGGAAUAAGCCACGGCUAACUCCGUGCCAGCAGCCGCGGUAAUACGGGGGUGGCAAGCGUUGUCCGGAAUCACUAGGCGUAAAGGGCAAGUAGGCGGAAUAGACAGUCAGGUGUUAAAGGCAUUGGCUCAACCAAUGUACGGCAUUUGAUACUUUUAUUCUAGAAUUUGACAUGGGAAGACAGAAUUCCUGGUGUAGCGGUGGAAUGCGCAGAUAUCAGAGGAAUACCGGAGGCGAAGCGGUCUUCUGGGUCGAAUUUGACGCUGAAUUGCGAAGUGUGGGUAUCAAACAGGAUUAGAUACCCUGGUAGUCCACACAGUAAACGAUGUGCACUAGAUGUUGGGGGAGAAAUUUUCUCAGUGUCGCAGCUAACGCGUUAAGUGCAUCGCCUGGGGAGUACGAUCGCAAGAUUAAAACUCAAAGGAAUUGACGGGGGCCCGCACAAGCGGUGGAGCAUGUGGUUUAAUUCGAUGCAACGCGAAGAACCUUACCUGGGCUUGACAUCCCUGGGAUCCUGUAGAGAUACGGGAGUGCCCCUUCGGGGGAGCCGGGAGACAGGUGCUGCAUGGUUGUCGUCAGCUCGUGUCGUGAGAUGUUGGGUUAAGUCCCGCAACGAGCGCAACCCCUAUCUUUAGUUACCAUCGAGUAAUGUCGGGGACUCUAAAGAGACUGCCAGUGUAAUAAACUGGAGGAAGGUGGGGAUGACGUCAAAUCAUCAUGGUCCUUAUGUCCAGGGCUACACACGUGCUACAAUGGCCGGUACAGAGGGUUGCAAUACCGCGAGGUGGAGCUAAUCUCAGAAAGCCGGUCUCAGUUCGGAUUGGAGUCUGCAACUCGACUCCAUGAAGCUGGAAUCGCUAGUAAUCGCGUAUCAGCAUAACGCGGUGAAUACGUUCCCGGGCCUUGUACACACCGCCCGUCAAGUCAGCCGAGUUGAUUGCACCCGAAGGAGGUGAGCUAACC
rnacentral:rRNA from 1 species